GCUCAUUCUCUCUGGAGACGCUUUGAUUCACUUUCAACCUAUCAGCUACAUAUGUAAGGUGUCAUUGACAUUUGGAGCCAACAUUCAUGCCCGAACAGCUACUUUCUAAACACAUUUAACAAAAGACAAAAGCAGUCAUUACUUUGGAGUUUCUUUUUUUAUGGAUUCAUACCUUCUGGGGACAAGAGAUAAAUGAAGCUGGAUACAUUUGUAUAGCAUAGGUCUGAUAACAGUACAUCACAAAAAAUUCUUCCUGUGUCUCCAGUGCAAUAGUAUCUGUUUAUCUCUUUGUCUGCUGAGAGAAGUAGAAUGAAUCUGCAAUGGAAAACUUGC